rnacentral:tRNA from 1 species
GGGCGCUUGGUCUAGGGGUAUGAUUUUCGCUUCGCAUCACGUUCAGAUCCUCGGAAGAUGAUCAGUGACAUGCGCUUGCUUGUGAAAGGUCGUGGGUUCAAUUCCCACAGUGUCCA